rnacentral:rRNA from 1 species
GUCGAACGGAGGGAGUAAUCCCUCAGUGGCGAACGGUCGCGUAACACGUAGGCAACCUGCCCUGAAGUGGGGGACAACGGUCCGAAAGGGCCGCUAAUACCGCAUGUUGUCCGUGGUUGGCAUCAACCACGGUCCAAAGCAGUAAUGCGCUUCAGGAUGGGCUUGCGGCCUAUCAGGUAGUUGGUGGGGUAAUGGCCUACCAAGCCGACGACGGGUAGCUGGUCUGAGAGGACGAUCAGCCGGAUUGGGACUGAGAUACGGCCCAGACUCCUACGGGGGGCAGCAAUUAGGAAUCUUGCGCAAUGGGGGCAACCCUGACGCAGCGACGCCGCGUGCGGGAUGAAGGCAUUCGUGUCGUAAACCGCUUUUACCAGGGAAGAAGAAUGUGACGGUACCUGGUGAAUAAGCCCCGGCUAACUACGUGCCAGCAGCCGCGGUAAUACGUAGGGGGCGAGCGUUGUCCGAAGUUACUGGGCGUAAAGCGCGCGUAGGCGGCUCAUUAAGUCUGGGGUGAAAGGUUCAGCGCUCAACGCGAACAGUGCCCUGGAUACUGUUGAGCUUGGGUCCGGGAGGGGGCAGUGGAAUUCUUGGUGUAGCGGUGAAAUGCGUAGAUAUCAGGAGGAACACCGGUGGCGAAGGCGGCUGCCUGGCCUAGGACCGACGCUGAGGUGCGAAAGCGUGGGGAGCAAACGGGAUUAGAUACCCCGGUAGUCCACGCCGUAAACGAUGAGUGCUAGGUGUCA